AGAUGGAGGGGUGCCCGAAAGGGAGCCGUAACACAGGUGCUGCAUGGCUGUCGUCAGCUCGUGUCGUGAGAUGUUGGGUUAAGUCCCGCAACGAGCGCAACCCUUGUCAUUAGUUGCUACAUUUAGUUGGGCACUCUAAUGAGACUGCCGGUGACAAACCGGAGGAAGGAGGGGAUGAUGUCAAGUCAUCAUGGCCUUUAUGCCCAGGGCUACACACGUGCUACAAUGGGGAGGACAAAGGGCUGCCACUUGGUGACAAGGAGCUAAUCCCAAAAACCUCCUCUCAGUUCAGAUUGGAGUCUGCAACUCGACUCCAUGAAGCUGGAAUCGCUAGUAAUCGUAGAUCAGCAACGCUACGGUGAAUACGUUCCCGGACCUUGCACACACCGCCCGUCAAGCCAUGGAAGCUGGGUGUACCUAAAGUCGGUAACCGCAAGGAGCCGCCUAGGGUAAAACUAGUGACUGGGGCUAAGUCGUAACAAGGUAACCGU
rnacentral:rRNA from 1 species